UACGUAGGGUGCGAGCGUUAAUCGGAAUUACUGGGCGUAAAGCGUGCGCAGGCGGUUCGUUAAGUCAGCUGUGAAAGCCCCGGGCUCAACCUGGGAAUUGCGGUUGAAACUGGCGAACUAGAAUCUGGCAGAGGGGGGUGGAAUUCCACGUGUAGCAGGUGAAAUGCGUAGAGAUGCGGAGGAACACCAGUGGCGAAAGCGACUUUCUGGUCCUUAACUGACGCUGAGGCGCGAAAGCAUGGGGAGCGAACGGG
rnacentral:rRNA from 1 species